rnacentral:rRNA from 1 species
UACGUAGGGGGCAAGCGUUGUCCGGAUUUAUUGGGCGUAAAGAGCGUGUAGGCGGCCAGACAGGUCAGCUGUGAAAACUCGAGGCUCAACCUCGAGACGUCGGUUGAAACCGUCUGGCUAGAGUCCGGAAGAGGAGAGUGGAAUUCCCGGUGUAGCGGUGAAAUGCGCAGAUAUCGGGAAGAACACCGGUGGCGAAGGCGGGUCUCUGGGCCGAUACUGACACUGAGGAGCGAAAGCGUGGGGAGCGAACAGG